rnacentral:snRNA from 1 species
GUGCUCAUUUCUGCACAUGUACCAACAGCAGAACAAUACAGAGAUUAGCAUGGCCCCCGUGCAAGGAUGACAAGAAAAUUCAUCAAGUUUCUAUAUUUUUU